CUCUAUUACCGAUUUGUCAUAUUUUGCUUAGUUCUCGAAAUAUUUAGACCGAAAUUAAUGAGCUUUCCGCCAUCUUGGAAAAAUGCUUUACCUCAUUAACUAUGGUUUUGAUGACGUCAGGAGUUGGGUUAACCAUAUAAAACUACUCUAAAAUGACCGAGUAACAAUCCAAAAUUGUUUGAAAUGUUUUUAAUCAUUUCUAAAUUUCAGACAGCAACCAGAAACGAAGUUU